rnacentral:tRNA from 1 species
GUCGCCUUCGUCUAGGGGUCAAGGAUACCGCUCUCUCACGGCGGGGACACGGGUUCGAAUCCCGUAGGCGACGCCA